rnacentral:rRNA from 1 species
UACGGAGGGGGCUAGCGUUGUUCGGAAUUACUGGGCGUAAAGCGCACGUAGGCGGCUUUGUAAGUUAGAGGUGAAAGCCCAGGGCUUAACCCUGGAAUUGCCUUUAAGACUGCAUCGCUCGAAUUGUGGAGAGGUGAGUGGAAUUCCGAGUGUAGAGGUGAAAUUCGUAGAUAUUCGGAAGAACACCGGUGGCGAAGGCGGCCCGCUGGGCAACUGCUGACACUGAUGCGCGACAGCGUGGGGAGCAAACAGG